rfam:Shigella phage 75/02 Stx, complete genome.
GGUCGGGUGGAGAGGCGUAAUACAAUACCCGUAAGGGGAAUAUGCCCAGAGCUUCUUGUAAGGCUCAGUUGACACCCGACCAACCAGCU